GGUUAAGCGACUAAGCGUACACGGUGGAUGCCCUGGCAGUCAGAGGCGAUGAAGGACGUGCUAAUCUGCGAUAAGCGUCGGUAAGGUGAUAUGAACCGUUAUAACCGGCGAUUUCCGAAUGGGGAAACCCAGUGUGUUUCGACACACUAUCAUUAACUGAAUCCAUAGGUUAAUGAGGCGAACCGGGGGAACUGAAACAUCUAAGUACCCCGAGGAAAAGAAAUCAACCGAGAUUCCCCCAGUAGCGGCGAGCGAACGGGGAGGAGCCCAGAGCCUGAAUCAGUGUGUGUGUUAGUGGAAGCGUCUGGAAAGGCGCGCGAUACAGGGUGACAGCCCCGUACACAAAAAUGCACAUGCUGUGAGCUCGAUGAGUAG
rnacentral:rRNA from 1 species